rnacentral:rRNA from 1 species
GACGAACGCUGGCGGCGUGCCUAAUACAUGCAAGUAGAACGCUGGAGGAGGAGCUUUCUUCUCUGGAUGAGUUGCGAACGGGGGAGUAUCGCGUAGGGAACCUGCCUGUUAGCGGGGGAUAACUCUUGGAAACGAUAGCGAAUACCGCAUAAGAGUAGAUGUCGCAUGACAUUUGCAUAAAAGGUGCAAUUGCAUCACUACCAGAUGGACCUGCGUUGUAUUAGCUAGUUGGUGAGGUAACGGCUCACCAAGGCAACCAUACAUAGCCGACCUGGGAGGGGGAUCGGCCCACACGGGAACGAGACACCGCCCAGACCCCUACGGGAGGCAGCAGUAGGGAAUCCUUGGCAAUGGACGGAAGUCUGAACGAGCAAAGCCGCGUGAGUGAAGAAGGUUUUCGGAUCGUAAAGCUCCGUUGUAAGAGAAGAACGAGUGUGAGAGUGGAAAGUUCACACUGUGACGGUACCUUACCAGAAAGGGACGGCUAACUACGUG